rnacentral:rRNA from 1 species
UACAGAGGUCCCGAGCGUUGUUCGGAUUCACUGGGCGUAAAGGGUGCGUAGGUGGUGAGGUAAGUCGGAUGUGAAAUCUCCGAGCUCAACUCGGAAAUGGCAUUGGAAACUACCUUGCUCGAGGGUUGGAGGGGGGGACUGGAAUACUUGGUGUAGCAGUGAAAUGCGUAGAUAUCAAGUGGAACACCAGUGGCGAGGGCGAGUCCCUGGACAACUCCUGACACUGAGGCACGAAAGCGUGGGGAGCGAACCGG